rnacentral:lncRNA from 1 species
CGGAAAAAUGGCCAAAAGACGGGUGGGCUAUAGCCUUGGUGGGGGGAGUGGGCGAAGUUCGUCCGCGGGACUCGGAAUGGCACCAUACUUGGCGGGCGGCCUCCGUUUGCCAAAAAUAUGCCACGGGCACAGCCGCGCCCAAAAAUCAGCCCCCGAAGGUCGGGGACCCAAGACCCCCCAGUGGAAAAAUGGCCAAAAGACGGGUGGGCUAUAGCCUUGGUGGGGGGAGUGGGCAAAGUUCGUCCGCGGGACUUGGAAUUGCACCAUACUUGGCGGGCGGCCUCCGUUUGCCAAAAAUAGGCCACGGGCACAGCCGCGCCCAAAAAUCAGCCCCCGAAGGUCGGGGACCCAAGACCCCCCAGCGGAAAAAUGGCCAAAAGACGGGUGGGCUAUAGCCUUGGUGGGGGGAGUGGGCGAAGUUCGUCCGCGGGAAUCGGAAUGGCACCAUACUUGGCGGGCGGCCUCCGUGAGCCAAAAAUAGGCCACGGGCACAGCCGCGCCCAAAAAUCAGCCCCCGAAGGUCGGAGUCCCAAGAACCCCCCAGCGGAAAAAUGGCCAAAAAACGGGUGGGCUAUAGCCUUGGUGGGGGGCGUGGGCGAAGUUCGUCCGCGGGACUCGGAAUGGCCCCAGACUUGGCGGACAGCCUCCGUGUGCCAAAAAUAGGCCACGGGCACAGCCGUGCCCAAAAAUCAGCCCCCGAAGGUCGGGGUCCCAAGACCCCCCAGAGGAAAAAUGGCCAAAAGACGGGUGGGCUAUAGCCUUGGUGGGGGGAGUGGGCGAAGUUCGUCCGCGGGACUCGGAAUGGCACCAUACUUGGCGGGCGGCCUCCGUGUGCCAAAAAUAGGCGAAGUUCGUCCGCGGGACUCGGAAUGGCACCAUACUUGGCGGGCGGCCUCCGUUUGCCAAAAAUAGGCCACGGGCACAGCCGCGCCCAAAAAUCAGCCCCCGAAGGUCGGGGUCCCAAGACCCCCCAGCGGAAAAAUGGCCAAAAGACGGGUGGGCUAUAGCCUUGGUGGGGGGAGUGGGCGAAGUUCGUCCGCGGGACUCGGAAUGGCACCAUACUUGGCGGGCUGCCUCCGUGUGCCAAAAAUAGGCCACGGGCACAGCCGUGCCCAAAAAUCAGCCCCCGAAGGUUGGGGUCCCAAGACCCCCCAGCGGAAAAAUGGCCAAAAAAAGGGUGGGCUAUAGCCUUGGUGGGGGGCGUGGGCGAAGUUCGUCCGCGGGACUCGGAAUGGCCCCAGACUUGGCGGGCGGCCUUCGUGUGCCAAAAAUAGGCCACGGGCACAGCCGCGCCCAAAAAUCAGCCCCCGAAGGUCGGGGUCCCAAGACCACCCAGCGGAAAAAUGGCCAAAAAAAGGGUGGGCUAUAGCCUUGGUGGGGGGCGUGGGCGAAGUUUGUCCGCGGGACUCGGAAUGGCCCCAGNNNNNNNNNNNNNNNNNNNNNNNNNNNNNNNNNNNNNNNNNNNNNNNNNNNNNNNNNNNNNNNNNNNNNNNNNNNNNNNNNNNNNNNNNNNNNNNNNNNNNNNNNNNNNNNNNNNGGGUGGGCUAUAGCCUAUGUGGGGGGCGUGGGCGAAGUUCGUCCGCCGGACUCGGAAUGGCCCCAGACUUGGCGGGCGGCCUCCGUGUGCCAAAAAUAGGCCACGGGCACAGCCGCCCCCAAAAAUCAGCCCCCGAAGGUCGGGGUCCCAAGUCCCCCAGCGGAAAAAUGGCAAAAAAACGGGUGGGCUAUAGCCUUGGUGGGGGGCGUGGGCGAAGUUCGUCCGCCGGACUCGGAAUGGCCCCAGACUGGGCGGGCGGCCUCUGUGUGCCAAAAAUAGGCCACGGGCACAGCCGCGCCCAAAAAUCAGCCCCCGAAGGUCGGGGUCCCAAGACCCCCCAGCGAAAAAAUGGCCAAAAAAAGGGUGGGCUAUAGCCUUGGUGGGGGGCGUGGGCGAAGUUCGUCCGCGGGACUCAGAAUGGCCCCAGACUUGGCGGGCGGCCUCCGUGUGCCAAAAAUAGGCCACGGGCACAGCCGCGCCCAAAAAUCAGCCCCCGAAGGUCAGGGUCCCAAGACCCCCCAGCGGAAAAAUGGCCAAAAAACUGGUGGGCUAUAGCCUUGGCGCGGGGCGUGGGCGAAGUUCGUCCGCCGGACUCGGAAUGGCCCCAGACAUGGCGGGCGGCCUCCAUGUGCCAAAAAUGGGCCACGGGCACAGCCGCGCCCAAAAAUCAGCCCCCGAAGGUCGGGGUCGGGCGGCCUCCGUGUGCCAAAAAUGGGCCACGGGCACAGCCGCGCCCAAAAAUCAGCCCCCGAAGGUCGGGGUCCCAAGAACCCCCAGCGGAAAAAUGGCCAAAAAAUGGGGGGGCUAUAGCCUUGGUGGGCGGCAUGGGCGAAGUUCGUCCGCGGGACUCAGAAUGGCUCCAGACAUGGCGGGCGGCCACCGUGUGCCAAAAAUAGGCCACGGGCACAGCCGCGCCCAAAAAUCAGCCCCCGAAGGUCGGGGUCCCAAGACCCCCCAGCGGAAAAAUGGCCAAAAAACGGGUGGGCUAUAGCCUUGGUGGGGGGCGUGGCGAAGUUCGUCCGCCGGACUCGGAAUGGCCCCAGACUUGGCGGUCGGCCUCCGCGUGCCAAAAAUAGGCCACGGGCACAGCCGCGCCCAAAAAUCAGCCCCCGAAGGUCGGGGUCCCAAGACCCCCCAGCGGAAAAAUGGCCAAAAAACGGGUGGGCUAUAGCCUUGGUGGGGGGCGUGGGCGAAAAUCGUCCGCCGCACUCGGAAUGGCCCCAGACUUGGCGGGCGGCCUCCGUGUGCCAAAAAUAGGCCACGGGCACAGCCGCGCCCAAAAAUCAGCCCCCGAAGGUCAGGGUCCCAAGACCCCCCAGCGGAAAAAUGGCCAAAAAAGGGUGGGCUA